CAGUCGAACGAGGAUUUAACGGAAUGCGAUUCGUCAAAUGAAAUUAAAUCCGAGUGGCGGACGGGUGAGUAACGCGUGGAUAACCUGCCUCACACAGGGGGACAACAGCCGGAAACGGCUGCUAAUACCGCAUAACACAAGUAAUUCGCAUGAAUAACUUGCCAAAGAUUUUAUCGGUGUGAGAUGGAUCCGCGUCUGAUUAGCCAGUUGGCGGGGUAACGGCCCACCAAAGCGACGAUCAGUAGCCGACCUGAGAGGGUGACCGGCCACAUUGGGACUGAGACACGGCCCAAACUCCUACGGGAGGCAGCAGUGGGGAAUAUUGCACAAUGGGCGAAAGCCUGAUGCAGCGACGCCGCGUGAAGGAUGAAGUAUUUCGGUAUGUAAACUUCUAUCAGCAGGGAAGAAAAUGACGGUACCUGACUAAGAAGCCCCGGCUAACUACGUGCCAGCAGCCGCGGUAAUACGUAGGGGGCAAGCGUUAUCCGGAUUUACUGGGUGUAAAGGGAGCGUAGAUGGCAUGGCAAGUCUGAAGUGAAAGCCCGGGGCUUAACCCCGGGACUGCUUUGGAAACUGUUAAGCUAGAGUGCAGGAGAGGUAAGCGGAAUUCCUAGUGUAGCGGUGAAAUGCGUAGAUAUUAGGAGGAACACCGGUGGCGAAGGCGGCUUACUGGACUGUAACUGACAUUGAGGCUCGAAAGCGUGGGGAGCAAACAGGAUUAGAUACCCUGGUAGUCCACGCCGUANACGAUGAAUACUAGGUGUUGGGGANCAUAAGCUCUUCGGUGCCGG
rnacentral:rRNA from 1 species